ACCUGAUGCUAGAAGCUAUUUAGAUCUGCAGAGUAUCGUCCCAAGUCUUUUCCGUCUUCAUGUGAAACUUAAGAGGGAAAGCUUUAAUGUAUGUCAUUUGUCUUUAUUAGUACCCAACAGAUGCACUGUUUUUUGGAUCAAAAUACUUUUUUUUUUUUUUUUUUUUUUUUUACAAUUCUACACUGUUCUAGAAUUAGUGCCUUCAGCUAAAGCAUAGUUAAUCAUCUAGAGGCCCACUGGCCAGAUGUGAAGCAGAAAUGUUUUUCUAUGGCCCCCACACUCCCUGAGAACCCCAAAGGCUUUCUUCUGUUUCACUCAUUUUAAUGGAUCUCAGCCUAGCUGCAAAUGAACCUCUAUGACCUUUGAACUUGUACAGUGAAAACAGUUGUACAAAUUUGAAUUAGGUAUUGACGUUGCUCCUCAGGUGGCAUUAAAUGAAAGAAUAUUUUCUAGCCCCUUGGGCUACAAAAAAGAUUUGAAGUAUGAUUUACUUUAGAGGCUUGGCUCUUACCAGUGGAGAUACAGCUCACUCAGCAUGUUUUUGAUGUUAUUGGUAUGUUCAGCCCCCAAGUCUUGCUGUUUCAGUCUAUAAAAGGUUAAUUACAGCUGGGGCAGGUGAAAAAAAAAAUAGAAUUUCCCGUAAGUUCUACAUGCAAUACAUUUGGAACUCAAAAACAACACACACGGUUUAUUUGUGUAGUAGUAGUAGUAGUCUACCUUCAAAAGCACUCUCCUUUUAUUAACCGAGGUACUGCUCCGCCAUCAAGGGUUCAAAGGGUUAACCGUGUGUUUCAGCGAGUCCUCAUUUUAUGAGAUAACUUAAGGUGUUUGGAAAGCUUCACCUUUACUUUUCUCCUGUUCAUGUGCUGAUCUGGCAAAACUGCACCAGCAGGGGAAGGGUUAUACUUGGCAGGAUUCGGCUUGUUGAAUAUUAAGUUAUGUAACACAUUCUUUCUGGAUUUAUUAUUUUUUUUACUUUAGCAGGUGUUAAACCGUAACGCAUGACCUCUCUACUUUCUCUCUCGCAGCAAUAUCUAAUAAAGUAUAACGUUGGUGUCGUUUUGGUAUGAUGGAUGGAUGUGUUUUGAAGCAAACUCCUAGUGUGUAAAGGAAUUUGGGAUGACUGACAGCUGAGCAAAUGAUUCACCCAGCCCCAAAAUCUGUCCAUGAAAAAAGAAGUUAAAAUAGUACUAUUA